rnacentral:rRNA from 1 species
GUGGAUUAGAUACCCUGGUAGUCCACGCCCUAAACGAUGUCAACUAGAUGUUGGGAGGGUUAAACCUCUUAGUGUCGUAGCUAACGCGUGAAGUUGACCGCCUGGGGAGUACGGCCGCAAGGCUAAAACUCAAAGGAAUUGACGGGGACCCGCACAAGCGGUGGAUGAUGUGGAUUAAUUCGAUGCAACGCGAAAAACCUUACCUACCCUUGACAUGUCAGGAAUCCCGGAGAGAUUUGGGAGUGCCCGAAAGGGAGCCUGAACACAGGUGCUGCACGGCCGUCGCCAGCU